GAUGAACGCUGGCGGCGUGCCUAAUACAUGCAAGUCGAGCGAACAGACGAGGAGCUUGCUCCUCUGACGUUAGCGGCGGACGGGUGAGUAACACGUGGAUAACCUGCCUAUAAGACUGGGAUAACUUCGGGAAACCGGAGCUAAUACCGGAUAAUAUAUUGAACCGCAUGGUUCAAUAGUGAAAGACGGUUUUGCUGUCACUUAUAGAUGGAUCCGCGUCGCAUUAGCUAGUUGGUAAGGUAACGGCUUACCAAGGCAACGAUGCGUAGCCGACCUGAGAGGGUGAUCGGCCACACUGGAACUGAGACACGGUCCAGACUCCUACGGGAGGCAGCAGUAGGGAAUCUUCCGCAAUGGGCGAAAGCCUGACGGAGCAACGCCGCGUGAGUGAUGAAGGUCUUCGGAUCGUAAAACUCUGUUAUUAGGGAAGAACAAAUGUGUAAGUAACUAUGCACGUCUUGACGGUACCUAAUCAGAAAGCAACGGCUAACUACGUG
rnacentral:rRNA from 1 species